AUUGAACGCUGGCGGCAUGCCUUACACAUGCAAGUCGAACGGUAACAGGUCUUCGGAUGCUGACGAGUGGCGAACGGGUGAGUAAUGCAUCGGAACGUGCCCAGUAGUGGGGGAUAGCCCGGCGAAAGCCGGAUUAAUACCGCAUACGACCUGAGGGUGAAAGGGGGGGAUCGCAAGACCUCUCGCUAUUGGAGCGGCCGAUGUCAGAUUAGCUAGUUGGUGGGGUAAAGGCCUACCAAGGCAACGAUCUGUAGUUGGUCUGAGAGGACGACCAGCCACACUGGGACUGAAACACGGCCAGACUCCUACGGGAGGCAGCAGUGGGGAAUUUUGGACAAUGGGCGCAAGCCUGAUCCAGCAAUGCCGCGUGCAGGAAGAAGGCCUUCGGGUUGUAAACUGCUUUUGUCAGGGAAGAAAUCUUCUGGGUUAAUACCUCGGGAGGAUGACGGUACCUGAAGAAUAAGCACCGGCUAACUACGUGCCAGCCGCCGCCGUAAGAC
rnacentral:rRNA from 1 species